rnacentral:tRNA from 1 species
GGGCGUGUGGCUCAGUGGGAGAGCGUUCGGUUCGCAUCCGAAAGGUCGCGGGUUCAAAUCCCGCCACGUCCACCA